rnacentral:rRNA from 1 species
GUUGUAUGGUUAAGUGACUAAGCGUACACGGUGGAUGCCUUGGCAGUCAGAGGCGAUGAAGGACGUAUUAACUUGCGAUAAGCCCAGAUUAGGUAGUAAAAACCACUUGAGUCUGGGAUUUCCGAAUGGGGAAACCCACUUACAUAAGUAAGUAUCGUUAUGUGAAUACAUAGCAUAACGAGGCGAACCGGGGGAACUGAAACAUCUAAGUACCCCGAGGAAAAGAAAUCAACCGAGAUUCCGAAAGUAGCGGCGAGCGAAAUUGGACUAGCCCUUAAGCUUUAUAGGCGUCAG